UCAAUAGAGAAACUAAGAAGUUAAGUUCUGGAUUCAUCUCUACCUACAGCAUGUGAUGGUAAACACCUUGUGAUAAAGUUCUACAAAGCUGAUGCAAAGAAUCUCAGAAUCAUUAGAUCUGAGUUAAUAGCAGUUGAGUUGUUAGUAAACUCUAAACAGAAUCAGAUGAAGAAUGUGUUGAGAGGUUGGCACCCUGGAUAGGGAGUGAAGAGAUCCAAGAAGUAGUCCUGGCUGAUGACCACGUGAUUGGGCACUUGCUAUGGAACAUACCGGACAUCCAGUGACUGCUGCCAGGUCCACAGCCAACUCACAGGACUUGAUCAAAUCCUCCAUCAUGGCCAAAGCUUGUUGUAGGUCAUCUGAGAAGGCUGAAUCCUUGGUCCUCUCUGGCCCAUUCUGUGGAAACCAAAUGCCUUGUUGGAAAUCAAAAGGUAAACCAUCUACCAAGGGAAGAAGGGAAACAGGACAGAGAUAAGGAGCCACGGAUCCAGCCAGCAUGAAGCGACUGAGAAGUCAUCACGACGCCAACCCUACAAAUAAACCUAAGAAACAAGCGAAGGAUAGAAACGUCCCAGAAGGAAAAUGUGGCAGUUUCGACACAAACCUAAGUGGUCUGGGCAACCCCUGCCUCAGAUAUCACCUUCAACCUGCAGCACAAGACUCCGAGACUGGAAAAGCUACAUGACUAUCUCAGUGCUAGAGAUCAAGAGGGAUUCCAAGUGCUAUGUGACCUAUAUUCUCAUUGCAUCAAAGACUGUGAGAGGUGGGAACACAUCUGCCAAUAUCCCAGAUAGAAAAGAUACCCCCAGCCUGUGGAGUCAGCUUGCCAGCUUCAUCCAUUCCAUCAGGAGGACCUGGUCCGUCCACUCAGCUGUGCUUGCCACAGAGCCUGGGCUGCUCUGGCAGAGAUGACCACGUGGCCACUUCCUUGGGGAUUUCUGUGUCCCUGUCCUCUUGCUGAGGCCACUCUUGAUGUCCUUCAUCUGGACAUGGGUUAUUUUUUCCCUUACAGCUUUCACUAUGUCUAUUCUACUUCUAAACACCCUGCUGUAGUGAAUGAUUUCCAUUUCUAUAGCUCUUCCUCUCUCCCGAUGGAUUGUAAACGGUCAUUUCACUUCACUACAAGGACUACAGCAACUCUGUCCUUUGCUAUUCUCUCCAAGAAAAAUUACACAC